GGGCAAGACCGGUGCCAGCCGCCGCGGUAAUACCGGCAGCCCAAGUGAUGGCCGAUAUUAUUGGGCCUAAAGCGUCCGUAGCUGGCCGCACAAGUCCAUCGGGAAAUCCACCAGCUCAACAGGUGGGCGUCCGGUGGAAACUGCGUGGCUUGGGACCGGAAGGCUCGAGGGGUACGUCCGGGGUAGGAGUGAAAUCCUGUAAUCCUGGACGGACCACCGAUGGCGAAAGCACGUCGAGAAAACGGAUCCGACAGUGAGGGACGAAAGCUAGGGUCUCGAACCGGAUUAGAUACCCGGGUAGUCCUAG
rnacentral:rRNA from 1 species